rnacentral:rRNA from 1 species
UGAUACGCGAGGAACCUUACCUGGGCUAGAAUGCUGCCUGAUUGAAUCUGAAAGGGUUUUUUAUAGCAAUAUACAGGUAGUAAGGUGCUGCAUGGCCGUCGUCAGCUCGUGCCGUGAGGUGUUGGGUUAAGUCCCGCAACGAGCGCAACCCCUAUCUUCAGUUGCCAGCACGUUAAGGUGGGAACUCUGAAGAAACUGCCGCCGUAAGGCGAGAGGAAGGAGGGGAUGAUGUCAAGUCAUCAUGGCCUUUAUGCCCAGGGCUACACACGUGCUACAAUGGGGAGGACAAAGGGCUGCCACCUGGUGACAGGGAGCUAAUCUCAAAAACCUCCUCUCAGUUCAGAUUGUAGUCUGCAACUCGACUACAUGAAGCUGGAAUCGCUAGUAAUCGCGCAUCAGCAAUGGCG